GAUGGACGCAGGCGCCGUGCCUAACACAUGCAAGUCGUAGGAAGCGCCUUUUAGGAUUCGUAGGAUGAUUAAUCGGUGACUGAGUGUCGGACGGGUAAGCAACGCGUGGGUAAGCUGCGCGGAGGAGGGGAAUAUCAGUUGGAGACGGCUGCUAAUACCGCAUAAGCGCACGAGAGGACAUCCUCUUGUGUGAAAAACUCCGGUGGUACAGGAUGGCCCGCGUCUGAUUAGCUGGUUGGCAGGGUAACGGCCUACCAAGGCGACGAUCAGUAGCCGGUCUGAGAGGAUGAACGGCCACAUUGGAACUGAGACACGGUCCAAACUCCUACGGGAGGCAGCAGUGGGGAAUAUUGCACAAUGGGGGAAACCCUGAUGCAGCAACGCCGCGUGAGUGAAGAAGUAUUUCGGUAUGUAAAGCUCUAUCAGCAGGGAAGAUAAUGACGGUACCUGACUAAGAAGCUCCGGCUAAAUACGUGCCAGCCGCCGCCGUAAGAC
rnacentral:rRNA from 1 species